rnacentral:misc_RNA from 1 species
UUUCCGUAGGUGAACCUGCGGAAGGAUCAUUGUCGAAACCUGCCCAGCAGAACGACCCGCGAACUUGUAUAAACAACCGGGGGCGGGGGGCGUUCUCGCCCCGUGCCCCCGAACGGCGGGGAGACACUCGUGCCUUCUUGCCGAACAACGAACCCCGGCGCGGUCUGCGCCAAGGAACUUCAACUAAAGAGUGCCUCCGGUCGCCUCGGAAACGGCGUGCGUGCCGGGGGCGAAUCUUGUGCAGAACCGUAACGACUCUCGGCAACGGAUAUCUCGGCUCUC